AGCUCCAAUAGCGUAUAUUAAAGUUGUUGCUGUUAAAAAGCUCGUAGUUGAACUUGUGGUUUAUGUCGUGUGCCCAGCACUCGUUGUUGGUUGUGCAUGGCAUUGCCAUCCCUGGGUGGAAUCUGUUUGGCAUUAGGUUGUCGGGCAGGGGAUACCCACCAUUUACUGUGAAAAAAUUAGAGUGUUCAAAGCAGGCUUACGCCUUUGAAUAUAUUAGCAUGGAAUAAUUAGAUAGGACUUUGGUACUAUUUUGUUGGUUUGCGCACCAAGGUAAUGAUUAAUAGGGUCAGUUGGGGGUAUCCGUAUUCCAUUGUCAGAGGUGAAAUUCUUGGAUUUUUGGAAGACGAACUACUGCGAAAGCAUUUACCAAGGAUGUUUUCA
rnacentral:rRNA from 1 species